GACGAACGCUGGCGGCGUGCCUAACACAUGCAAGUCGAGCGGAGUCGAUCGACGGAAGCCUUCGGGCGGAAGAUGGUUGACUUAGCGGCGGAUGGGUGAGUAACGCGUGGGCAACCUGCCUCGAAGACCGGGAUAACAGCCCGAAAGGGCUGCUAAUACCGGAUGUGGUCAAGGAUCCGCAUGGAUUUUUGAUUAAAGGGGAAACCCGUUUCGAGAUGGGCCCGCGUCCUAUCAGCUAGUUGGUGAGGUAAAAGCUCACCAAGGCGACGACGGGUAGCCGGCCUGAGAGGGUGACCGGCCACACUGGAACUGAGACACGGUCCAGACUCCUACGGGGGGCAGCAGUGGGGAAUCUUCCACAAUGGGCGAAAGCCUGAUGGAGCGACGCCGCGUGAGCGAAGAAGGCCUUCGGUUGUAAAGCUCUGUCUGAGGGACGAAGGAAGUGACGGUACCUCCGGAGGAAGCCACGGCUAACUACGUGCCAGCAGCCGCGGUAAAGUACUCUAU
rnacentral:rRNA from 1 species